GACGAACGCUGGCGGCGUGGAUUAGGCAUGCAAGUCGCGCGACGCAUUCCCUUCGGGGUUUGACGGAGCGGCGAACGGGUGAGUAACACGUGAGGAACCUGUCCCUACAUUCCGGAUAAUUGGCCGAAAGGCCUUGUAAUACGGGGGAGGGUCUUUGAGGGGCAUCCCUUAAAGAAGGAACGAGCAAUCGGUGCAGGGAGGGUCUCGCGGCCUAUCAGCUUGUUGGUGGGGUAAAGGCCUACCAAGGCGACGACGGGUAGCUGGUCUGAGAGGAUGGUCAGCCACAUUGGAACUGAGACACUGUCCAGACUCCUACGGGAGCUGCAGUCGAGAAUCUUGGUCAAUGCACGAAAGUGUGAACCAGCGACGCCGCGUGAAGGAU
rnacentral:rRNA from 1 species